rnacentral:rRNA from 1 species
ACGUAGGCAGCAAGCGUUGUUCGGAAUUACUGGGCGUAAAGAGUGCGUAGGUGGUUGGUUAAGUUUGGUGUGAAAUCUCCCGGCUCAACUGGGAGGGUGCGCCGAAAACUGGCUGGCUAGAGUGUGGGAGAGGGAAGCGGAAUUCCUGGUGUAGCGGUGAAAUGCGUAGAUAUCAGGAGGAACACCCGCGGUGUAGACGGCUUCCUGGACCGUAACUGACGCUGAGAUACGAAAGCGUGGGGAGCAAACAG